GAGGGCAUUUUUGGUUCAAAAGUCCAAACCCUGCAACAACCUCUCCCAUCUUCGAAUUCAUCGAAAAACCUAAAUCCCCACCUCCAUCAAACAGGAAGCUGAAAUCUUUCUCGUUUGCGGGGAGGAGGGAAGAAGGUGGUUAUUACGUAUGUCGCAGGUUAACGGGCUCAGCAAUGCGGUUGGUCCCGAUUUCCAUCUGCCCGACGAGAUACUAUCGGUGAUACCCACCGACCCUUAUGAGCAGCUCGAUCUGGCUCGCAAGAUUACCUCGAUGGCGAUCGCUUCGCGGGUUUCGAAGCUCGAGUUGGAAAUGGGUCGGGUCAAAGAGAGGCUUUAUGAGAAGGACCGAAUAAUAUUCGCGCUCGAGGAGAAGGUCUCCGGUCUUAAUCAUGCAUGCCAGGAAGCUGAGUCCAGAUUGAAGGUCGCUCUCGAUGAGAAUAUAAAGCUUACACAGGAGAGGGAGCAAUUGGCAGUGACAGCAAAAAAGCUCAGUCGAGACUUAUCAAAGUUGGAAGCAUUUAAGAGACAGCUGAUGCAGUCUUUAAAUGAUGAUAAUCAAUCUACUGAAACUGUUGAUAUUGGAACUUGUGACCAGUCUGUUCCAAAGGCAUAUCCUGAUAAGGAUGAAAAUGGCAGUGGCUAUGCGGCACAUCAUUCAUAUAAUAGCUCUACUACUGUGGGUACCACUAUUGAUGAAGGUUCAAGAUAUGCUGGAAAUAGAUUUUCUAUAACUCCUUAUAUCACACCACGUCUUACUCCACAAGGAACUCCAAAAGUGAUCUCAACAGCUGGAUCUCCGAGAGGGUAUUCUGCAGCUGGAUCUCCUAAGCAAACUUCUGGCGCCACUUCUCCCACUAAGCUUCCAUAUGAAGGACGGCAAUCACUAUCUUCAUGGUAUCCAUCAAGUCAGCAGUCGUCUGCAGCAAACUCUCCUCCUCGUGCACGAUCUCUUUCAGGCCGUACUCCAAGAAUUGAUGGAAAGGAGUUUUUCCGCCAAGCUAGGAGUCGCCUUUCCUAUGAGCAGUUUAGUGCAUUUCUUGCUAACAUCAAGGAAUUGAAUGCUCAGAAGCAAACACGAGAGGAAACUUUAAGAAAAGCAGAAGAGAUAUUUGGGACAGACAACAAAGAUCUUUUCCUAUCUUUUCAAGGAUUGCUCGGUCGCAAUGCACACUAGUACUGAAAGCAUCAUUACCUUCAUUUUUAUAUAUUCAAGUUGAUUUUCAUAGACUUUUUGUGAGUAACAUUUUUCUACAUUUCUGGUGCAUAUUUAUUGCCUACAUGGGAGCUUAUGGAUCAACCUUGACUUCCAGUGGAUGUUCUAUGACCUGCUUCUUACUGUGAUCAGAAUCCAAGAUAGCAUUGAUCUGAGUCAUGAAUUUGCGAUGACUGUAUGUUUCAUUCGUCUAGGCUUCAUUGUUGAAUGCUAUGUAGAUAUAUCAUCUGCCGCAUGACAUGCUCACUGCUUAGCAGGCUAAACUGCUAUUUGACUGUUUUCAAAAUGUACGUGAAGGGAAACGCUCUUGGUUCAAUCCGUAAACUUUCUUUUCCUUCUAUUUGGUGGCCAAUUGACGAGAGUAUUGUCUUCCAUUUGUCAUGGCUGAAUCUGAGUGUGCAGUAAAAUUGCAUAGCCUACAAGAUUCAGGCGUUAAAUGUUGCUGAUCUUGUGCUUCGGAAUCCAUAGUUGUCAUGACUGGAAGUUCUUCUGUCUUCCAAAAAUAGGUUGACCAAACUACUUACAACUAAGACUUUAGCAUGUCAUGCACACUUUCUGGUACAGAGUGUUACAUGAUAUGUAUGAUCGUUUGAUGUAUUAUCUUUUGAUAGAUUGAAUCUAAGAAUCUAAUGAAGUGUGGUUUCUCUUA